rnacentral:rRNA from 1 species
UACAGAGGUCCCGAGCGUUGUUCGGAUUCAUUGGGCGUAAAGGGUGCGUAGGCGGUGCGGUAAGUCUGUUGUGAAAUCUCCGGGCUCAACUCGGAGUCUGCAUCAGAAACUGCCGUGCUGGAGUGUGGGAGAGGUGAGUGGAAUUCCCGGUGUAGCGGUGAAAUGCGUAGAGAUCGGGAGGAACACCUGCGGCGAAAGCGGCUCACUGGACCAUAACUGACGCUGAUGCACGAAAGCUAGGGGAGCAAACAGG